GAUGAAGAACGCAGCGAAAUGCGAUAAGUAGUGUGAAUUGCAGAAUUCAGUGAAUCAUCGAAUCUUUGAACGCACAUUGCGCCCCUCGGUAUUCCGUGGGGCAUGCCUGUUCGAGCGUCAUUUAACCCCAUCAAGCCUAGCUUGGUAUUGGGUGCUUGUCCCGCCUCUCGCGCGGCGACUCACCUCAAAGUCAUUGGCAGCCCGCAUCUCGCCGGCCGUGAGCGCAGCACAGACGCGCUCUUGGCAACGACGGAUCGGCUCUCCAAAAGCUUAUUUCAACCACUGACCUCGGAUCAGGUAGGGAUACCCGCUGAACUUAAGCAUAUCAAUAAGCGGAGGA
rnacentral:misc_RNA from 1 species